GGUAGACGGGACCGUCGCUCAGAAUCCGCGCCGCCGCCACGAACGUUUCGCGCGCGCCACGACGCUAUCUCUCCGCCGCGCGAGCAGCAGCAGCAGCAGCAGCAGCGGCAUAGCAGCGCGUCUCUUGGCUCUCUCCCUUCUUCUUUCCGCUGUAGCGUACAGUGCGCUGCUGCAACACAUUAUCUCUCCUACUGCAUCUCCAGCUCGAACGUUCUGCUCUCCGAGCCGUUGACGAAGCGUCGCCGCUACGCGGAUGCGUUCCGUCGCUCCGUUAUAGCUCUGUGUUUUCCAAGUGUGUGCGCUGGCAGAUAAGAAUAUACGUAUACCUAGACACGCAGAAGGCGACGCGUUGUCGGAGUGCUGGAGGAGCCACCGACAUUUUUUUGUUAGAUGGGUAGCGCUAGUCAGCAGCAGUACAGUCUGUCCUGGGGCGACUUCGGUUCGUCGCUAACUUCUCAGGUGCAACUGCUUCGAGGACACGGCGAUCUGGUUGAUGUUACUCUAGCAGCUGAAGGUCGGCGUUUCUCGGCUCAUAAAAUCGUCCUCUCUGCAGCAAGUCCAUUCCUCCUUGAGAUAUUGAAGAGUACACCAUGUCAGCAUCCUGUGGUUAUGCUAGCAGGCAUUGGAGCAAAUGAACUGGAGGCUAUUUUAGAAUUCGUGUACCGAGGACAAAUAAGCGUGGAGCCCUCACAGUUGCCUUCGCUGCUGCAGGCAGCUCAAUGCCUCAGCAUUCACGGCCUAACACCACCGACUAUCCUCACACAGAAAGGUGAACAGGUGCCUAUUUCUGCGAUUCCCGGGUGCAACGAUCCUAGUGUAACCAGAGACACAAUGAAUUCAUAUCUACCAAUCCGAAGAAAGAAGAAGAGGAAGAUCUCUGGCGGAGGUGGUAAAUGGCCAAAAAGAGGCUAUUCCAGCCUUGAGACAAGAUCACUCGAUGAUCAUUCUGAGGACAAUAGAUCCGUGGAUUACGGCCACAAAGAUGGAGACGAUGGCAGUCAGUUAGGUGAUGAAGCGAAAGAACGGUCGGAACACGCAAAUCAUCAUCAUCAUAUACCGACGCCUCUGCCGCAACAUCAACUGGUACAUCCGGUUGUCGAACACAACCCGUCAGCUCUGAUAGCCAAUCCAGAGAGCGAACCACAUCUACACAAUCUAAUGCCGAUGCAACCAUACUCACCGCUACAUAUACCGCAGUUUCCUGGAGCCAUCGCGAACGUCGCAUACUCUCCAGGGUCUAGUACUUCGGUACAAUCUCCUCCAGCAGCUCACAAUUCAACAACAACAACGUCCACACAGUCGACGAAGAUACGUGGAGCAUCAGACUGUCCUGGCGUCUGUCCGCUGUGCGGUUCAACGUUACGCCAAGCCAGAAACUUGCGUCGACAUCUGCUGUCUUCGUGCAAGUACCGCUUUACGGCCAACCCGAACCAUCAAAUGAUGUCAUCCGAGUCUAUGCCCAUCGAAGUUAAACCAGAAGUUAAUUUAAGUGGUUACUCUGGACACGAAAGUGGAGGCAGCAGUUGCGAACAGAUCGUGUGCAACCCGAGUCCACUGCCGUCUCCGUCGCCGCAGGCUUCUAACGUUGUGUCCCCACACAGCAACAUUUCAUCACCUACGGUGGCCAGAUGAAAAAAGGAGAAAACCAAGCUCAAGAUAAAGUCGAAGAUUAUACAAUAGUACCUUGGCUUUACUUCGACUUUUGAACAGGAAACGGAUUGAUUGUGCAAAUCAUGCAUAGACUGAUAAUCUCGUUUCAUUUUUUUACUGACACGAGUACUUAUGCCACAUUGGAUAUACAUUUAUAUUUGAUACUGUAUUACCCAUAUCGUAAAUACUAUGUAUUUGUGGCAAAGUGAAAACUAGUGCUUUGGAAAGACUAACGAUGUCGUUUUUAAAGUGACAAUUGUGUGGUUGAAUUGACUGUUGUAAUCAACCAAAUCAAAGACACUUUUAAAUAUUUACCUAAGUCUAGCUUGUAACUUUGAUAAUUUUACCUGGUCUUUAGGACAUGAAACGAAUGUUUAAAAUUUAAGCGUUUUGGUUAAUAAUUAUAUUAAUAAAUCUUCCAGAUUAGUGCAUAAGAAAUAAUGUAAGAUGUAAUGACUAGCUUAUAAGAAAAGUAUCAGAGUAAGGGAUUUGCGCCCAUGGAAUUUUAUAUAUUAUAUUGCUUUUUAAUUAUAUUCAACAAACCAGAUGAUUUUUUGUUUUGUGCGAACAGAUUUGACUCUAAACCCAUAAAAGUCACGAACAGUAGAGUCAUUUGCGUUAUAGUAUACCGUUCACUAUAACACAAUAUCUUCGUUUUGUAGAUUUAUUUAUAUUAUUACUGGUUCUGUAAAUCACUUGUAGUUUUGUUUUAAGAAUUUCUAUUAUUACUUAGUUUGUUAAUCAUUACACCUUUAUUUUAAAAUAGUGCAUCUUAUUAUUUUAUAAACGGCGAAUCAUAAAUAUAAAUAGUUCUAUUAUCACACGAAUCAUUUAUUUAAAAGAUAUAUUAAUUAUGAUCAAACCGUGUACAUUGUAUCUACUCUUACUUGGAUUUGUAAAUAAAAAGCGUAAACACUUAAUAUAAAUUUUAAAAGUUACGAAAGUAUGGUUCUUUUUUAUAACCAGCAACAAAUCGCGUAUUUUUUUGUUUUUAAAGAAAAAUAAAAAAACUCCGUAUCCAAGGUAGAUUACGUCUGUUUUUAUUCUAGGAGAUUGGAACUCGAAAUCAAGAACAUUGUCAGAUCAGCCAGCAACUUGCCCGCUGUGUGGAGCGACAAUAAGACAGUCUAGAAAUUUGAGAAGACACUUGGAACUAUUGCAUUUCGGAGCUGGUUCAGGGAGUAAAUCAGGAUUACGAAUCAAAAAAGAUAAGACGGAUAAAUCGGUACCACUUUCGCUCACACCUAGAUCACCACCUUACUCUAGAGCAUCAUUAACAUUAAGAGACAAUGCUUAUUCAAAGCAAGAUGCUACCGAUUACUCGACGAUGCCUUCCCUCAAUCUGAGCUCAUCAGUUGGUGCUAGCUCGUCAAAUCUCAAUGUCCCAGGUUCGUUCAUGCUCGGAGGAUCCGGAGGCUUAGGUUCCAACGAUCACGGACACGGACAUCCCAGUCACCCUACCAACAACAACCCAGCCCACUCGAUGUCCGCGUGUCCACCUUCGUCAAUGACCCCGCACAACAAUAGCAUAUACUCGUCCGACAGCAUGUUGAGCAGUUUAUUUCCGACGUUGCCCACGUUACCAACCUUGUCCUCACCGCACGAUAUGUUUCGCCACUCAGAAUUUUUCCGGGCCAACAUGGGCUACAGCCAGGACCCGUCAAGACAGCAACACCCCGGCAGGCACAUGCAACGCACAGACGUUACAUGAGAUCAGAAGUAUAGAUGAUAGCGUUCGAGGGAUCAGUACUAUUGAUCCAUCGUACUUCGUCGAGGGUAAAAAGCUGUUUAUGAGAUUGUGAUAAUCGAGAGCUGAGUGUGUACUUGGAACAGUGCGUUUCGAAUCGUUGAUUUAAGGGAAUCUCUAAACUGAUGUGUACCGCAGAAAAAUAUAUUAUAUUUGUACAAUGAAUAUAUGAAUAUCAAGAAACUGGAAGUGAAAUGCAUUUCUAUAUACGUAUAAAUAAACUGGUGAAGCAAAGUUCCAAGUAAAUAUUCAGCUCGAAGAUCGCUCUCUGUCACUCAUUUAAAAGGAAUUCUUAAAAAAGCAAACAUUUUUAUUAAAAACGAGUCGCAUAAACAAAUUUUUGCCGACGAUGCUUUAAAUGACAGUCAUGGACUAUAUUUUUAAAUUGACAUAGAAUACGUACGAAAGAAAACAAUAACUCAUAUAAAUAACAAUUGUAAUUGUAGCUAUUAAUGAACGCGCGAAGGAUUUUCCACGAGGUUUAAACAACGAGAUUUAUCUCUUCAGUUCCGUGUUUCGUGCGCCCUAUUGUAAAAGGCCAAUUUCGAUUUGAAAUCCUCUCGAGCUCACCUUUCAGGAGCUUCAAGAGGUCAUCCAAGUAUCUCAGUUCGUAAACUUCGUUUCGAAGUUUGUUUAUGUCUUCUGAUAAAUGAUUAACCUUCCAUUCGUCUAUCUGUUGAGAUAAUUUUUUUUUAAUUACAUUUUAUAUUGUAAAGUUUGAUAUAAAUUUGGUAUAAAAGAGAAACUUCGGUCGCGCACUAAUGAUUCUUCCGCACUAUUGUUAAGUUUUAAGUUGCUUAAUUAAACUUAGAGCAUCCUACAUUUUAUUAUAUUAAUCGCUCGAUAUAGGCCAUGUUCCAAUCAUACUCAUUUAUUAUUUAAUUUUGUAUUAAAUAAUAUACGUAAUAAUAAACAAUUCUUAUAAAAUUCAA